GCCCUGGUAGCUCAAUUGGCUAGAGCGUGGGACUUUUAUCACCUCAUCGCCUUAGAAAACCCUCUAAGGAAUGACAUGUGGAAUCCCAAGGUUGCGGGUUCGACCCCCGCCUGGGGCG